AGUGAACGCUGGCGGUAGGCCUAACACAUGCAAGUCGAACGGCAGCACAGGAGAGCUUGCUCUCUGGGUGGCGAGUGGCGGACGGGUGAGGAAUACAUCGGAAUCUACUCUGUCGUGGGGGAUAACGUAGGGACACUUACGCUAAUACCGCAUACGACCUACGGGUGAAAGCAGGGGACCUUCGGGCCUUGCGCGAUUGAAUGAGCCGAUGUCGGAUUAGCUAGUUGGCGGGGUAAAGGCCCACCACGGCGACGAUCCGUAGCUGGUCUGAGAGGAUCGACAGCCACCCUGGAGCUGGGAGACGGUCAAGACUCCUACGUGAGGCGUCAGUGUGGAAUUUUGGCCAAGGGGCGCAAGCCUGUUCCAACCAUACCGCGUGGGUGAAGAAGGCCUUCGGGUUGUAAAGCCCUUUUGUUGGGAAAGAAAUCCAGCUGGCUAAUACCCGGUUGGGAUGACGGUACCCAAAGAAUAAGCACCGGCUAACUUCGUGCCAGCAGCCGCCGUAA
rnacentral:rRNA from 1 species